AGGCGACGAUCCCUAGCUGGUCUGAGAGGAUGACCAGCCACACUGGAACUGAGACACGGUCCAGACUCCUACGGGAGGCAGCAGUGGGGAAUAUUGCACAAUGGGCGCAAGCCUGAUGCAGCCAUGCCGCGUGUAUGAAGAAGGCCUUCGGGUUGUAAAGUACUUUCAGCGGGGAGGAAGGGAGUAAAGUUAAUACCUUUGCUCAUUGACGUUACCCGCAGAAGAAGCACCGGCUAACUCCGUGCCAGCAGCCGCGGUAAUACGGAGGGUGCAAGCGUUAAUCGGAAUUACUGGGCGUAAAGCGCACGCAGGCGGUUUGUUAAGUCAGAUGUGAAAUCCCCGGGCUCAACCUGGGAACUGCAUCUGAUACUGGCAAGCUUGAGUCUCGUAGAGGGGGGUAGAAUUCCAGGUGUAGCGGUGAAAUGCGUAGAGAUCUGGAGGAAUACCGGUGGCGAAGGCGGCCCCCUGGACGAAGACUGACGCUCAGGUGCGAAAGCGUGGGGAGCAAACAGGAUU
rnacentral:rRNA from 1 species